CAAAAGCGUAUAUUAAAGUUGUUGCGGCUAGAAAGCUCGUAAUUGAAUUUCAGCCUAGGAACGUUAACUCGCCGAAAGGGUGUACGUUGAUUUUCCUUUGACUUCGUCAGGAGCUCGUGCUGCACUUAACUGUGUGGUACGAUGUUCUGACCUUUCACCUUGAGGAAAGUAGAAUGUUUCAGGCAGGCUACCCAGCUUGAAUACAUCAGCAUGGAAUAAUGAAACGGAUCUCGUUUCGCUUGAGAAUGAGGAGUGAAAUCCGAUGAUCUCUUAAAGACGAUCCGAGGCGAAAGCAGUUGGCAAGUGAUGUGUUCAUUGA
rnacentral:rRNA from 1 species